rnacentral:rRNA from 1 species
GACGAACGCUGGCGGCGUGCUUAACACAUGCAAGUCGAACGAAGAGCGAUGGACGCUUGCUUCUAUCAAUCUUAGUGGCGAACGGGUGAGUAACGCGUAAUCAACCUGCCCUUCAGAGGGGGACAACAGUUGGAAACGACUGCUAAUACCGCAUACGAUCUAAUCUCGGCAUCGAGGAUAGAUGAAAGGUGGCCUCUACAUGUAAGCUAUCACUGAAGGAGGGGAUUGCGUCUGAUUAGCUAGUUGGAGGGGUAACGGCCCACCAAGGCGAUGAUCAGUAGCCGGUCUGAGAGGAUGAACGGCCACAUUGGGACUGAGACACGGCCCAGACUCCUACGGGAGGCAGCAGUGGGGAAUCCUCCGCAAUGGACGAAAGUCUGACGGAGCAACGCCGCGUGAGCGAUGACGGCCUUCGGGUUGUAAAGCUCUGUUAAUCGGGACGAAAGGCCUUCUUGCGAAUAGUGAGAAGGAUUGACGGUACCGGAAUAGAAAGCCACGGCUAACUACGUG